GCGCUUGCUUCGCCGGCACAUACACUAAAAUUGGAACAAUAGAGAGAAAAUUAUCAUGGCCCCUGCAGAAGAAUGAUAGGCAAAGUUGUGCAGUUUUCCAUACUAAG